UGUCUUUAACGGAGGCUCCGCUUCUACAAUGGGUCACCUCAUCACACACACUCCGCUGACAAACCACAGUAAUGUCCAAUCCACAGUGAGGUCAGAAGUAGGACUCUGCACAGUGAGUGGGAACCAGUUGUACAAGGGAGGUUAACAAUAGUUUGUCAUCCUCCGUACCACCACCACAAAUCUGAAUGUACUUUUUUUUUUAAAUGUUUUAUUUUAUCUUUAUGUCUCUUUAAACACACAUUUAAAUUACAAACAGUAGAAAUAAUGAAACAUUACAAGCACUACGUAAACGUAAGUACAUGUUUUUCAAGUAUUGUGUGUUUAAAGAAAAAAAAAAAAACAAGAGUCUCUUCAUUAGCACUGGUUUCCUUCAAUCUACAGUUUCCAUUCCCCACAGUCGGUUUUAACCAGCUCACCUGCUCCAAUGAGAGGAAACAACUCAGUGACUCACACGUCAGAAUACAAACAGUGGUCAGAAGACAGUGUGUCUACGCUACUCUCUUCUUUUGUGAGGAUGACCACAUGAUAUAAAAGAGAAAUAGUAAAAAGCUUCUGUGAUGUCCACAACUCAUUUUUGAAAUUACUGUCAGAGCAAACAAUUGAUCCCAGUGUUUGAAUUGUUUAGAUGUACACCAACAGUCAGACUCUUCACUGGAAAUUAAAGAUAAACUUUUUUUCUUUUUUAUUGUCAAGGUUAAGGGGAUAUAAUGUACUUCACAUUUACUGUGGGAAGCCUCAAAUUUAUAUUUGUGUCUCCAUUUACCCCUGCAUGGAUUUAUGUUUUCUUAAGUGAAUGGAGACGAGGGAAGAGAGCGCGUGUGUGUGUGUGUGUGUGUUAUUUUUCCUCAUUUCUUUCCUCUUGAGUCCUCUCCUGUUUAAUUAAUGUUAAUACAUGGUUGUACAUAUUGUCUUAUUCUGAUUUUCUCCUUCUCUAUUUAUUUCCUUUGGACUGAAAUGACAAAAUUACGUUUUGGUAGAUUUACAUUGGUCACUGUUGUAAAAGCAGCAGUUGGAUUUCCAAUAAACACUGUGUGAAAACUUC